AGAGAAUUCAGUACCUUUGUAUUUCGUAACAGCAAACAGACGGCGGGAUUAGAUAUCCGACAAUUGAGUGAUUAUUAUUUAUUAUUACCGUCAUCGUAUAUAUGACGAAAUUCAUAACAUGUUUUGUUGAAUUUCUGUUGCCACAACAGAAAUUGCACAUUUUCAAGAUUUCAUUGAAAUGUCAAACAAGUACCUCUUCAACAGAUUAGACGACAAUGCAAACGUAAAAGUUCGAUACAUACAGAGAUUUCAACAUGUUCUUAUGUAAAUGUUUCGUUGGUGCAAACUUACGGUUAAAUGUAAAAUACUUUUGGAAAAACAUUUUACCGGGAAAUAAAAUAUCAAUUAACUUUACAAUUUAACGUUUUUUAUUUUACUUGUUCGUUCAAGAACCUCUUCAAACCUUUUACUAGUUAUGAAUGUAGGUACUUUCACUGUUAUUGGUGGACAGCAACAGUCUUUUUUUAAUUUUUUUGGAUCGCCUAUAAUCUCCCCAUUUCUUCUCUUUCUAACCAAUGCAUCGUUCCUGCUUUCACUUUCAUUUGUUUUCAAAAAGUCUUCUUUUAACUGU